AGAAUUUGUAUAGAUCAUUGGGUUUCGAGAGAGUGUGUGUUGCAUUUUGAUUUGCUUCUCUUGUUCUUUGAUACAUUUGGUUUCUACUUUUUCUCGUCGUGUGACUUGAACUUUGUUGUGUUUGAUCAUACGCUUUAUGGUUGAUGCUACUAUUUCCUACAUUUGAUAUAUGUCAUGAUCAUUCACUUGUAUGCUUGGUGAUGGGUGCAUUAUAAUUCAUUCAUAUUAUUUAUCCGCUCCACCAAGAUGUAUGUGACAUGGAAGAGUGCCCAUGAUCCUAAUCGAUUAUGCAUUUACAUUCAAACGCAAAUUCAAAAUAAUGCACAAAUUUAGGGGGAGCUCUUGCUUAUCACAUACUUCUCAAAGCAAAGAUAUUAUGCAUUGAUUAUAUCCUU
rnacentral:lncRNA from 1 species